UGGGGAAUCUUCCGCAAUGGACGAAAGUCUGACGGAGCAACGCCGCGUGUAUGAUGAAGGUCUUCGGAUUGUAAAGUACUGUCAUUGGGGAAGAACGGUUUUCUUGAAAAGAUUGAGAAGACAUGACGGUACCCAAGGAGGAAGCCCCGGCUAACUACGUGCCAGCAGCCGCGGUAAUACGUAGGGGGGCAAGCGUUGUCCGGAAUUAUUGGGCGUAAAGGGCGCGUAGGCGGGCCUUUAAGUCCGGUGUGAAAGAUCAGGGCUCAACCCUGAGAGUGCAUCGGAAACUGGAGGCCUUGAGGACAGGAGAGGAAAGUGGAAUUCCACGUGUAGCGGUGAAAUGCGUAGAUAUGUGGAGGAACACCAGUGGCGAAGGCGACUUUCUGGACUGUAACUGGCGCUGAGGCGCGAAAGCGUGGGGAGCAAACAGGAUUAGAUACCCUGGUAGUCCACGCCGUAAACGAUGAGUGCUAGGUGUAGAGGGUAUCGACCCCUUCUGUGCCGCAGUUAACACAAUAAGCACUCCGCCUGGGGAGUACGGCCGCAAGGUUGAAACUCAAAUGAAUUGACGGGGGUCAUAGCUG
rnacentral:rRNA from 1 species